UGAAGAGUUUGAUCCUGGCUCAGGAUGAACGCUAGCGGCAGGCUUAACACAUGCAAGUCGAGGGGUAUUCUAGCAAUAGGAGAGACCGGCGCACGGGUGCGUAACGCGUAUGCAAUCUACCUUUCACAAAGGGAUAGCCCAGAGAAAUUUGGAUUAAUACCUUAUAGUAUAGCGAGUUCGCAUGGAUUUGCUAUUAAAGAUUUAUCGGUGAAAGAUGAGCAUGCGUCCCAUUAGCUAGUUGGUAAGGUAACGGCUUACCAAGGCUACGAUGGGUAGGGGUCCUGAGAGGGAGAUCCCCCACACUGGUACUGAGACACGGACCAGACUCCUACGGGAGGCAGCAGUGAGGAAUAUUGGUCAAUGGGCGCAAGCCUGAACCAGCCAUGCCGCGUGCAGGAUGACGGUCCUAUGGAUUGUAAACUGCUUUUGUACAGGAAGAAACACUCGGACGUGUCCGAGCUUGACGGUACUGUAAGAAUAAGGAUCGGCUAACUCCGUGCCAGCAGCCGCGGUAAUACGGAGGAUCCAAGCGUUAUCCGGAAUCAUUGGGUUUAAAGGGUCCGUAGGCGGCUUAAUAAGUCAGUGGUGAAAUCCCUACGCUUAACGUAGGAACGGCCAUUGAUACUGUUAGGCUUGAAUUAUUAGGAAGUAACUAGAAUAUGUAGUGUAGCGGUGAAAUGCUUAGAGAUUACAUGGAAUACCAAUUGCGAAGGCAGGUUACUACUAAUGGAUUGACGCUGAUGGACGAAAGCGUGGGUAGCGAACAGGAUUAGAUACCCUGGUAGUCCACGCCGUAAACGAUGGAUACUAGCUGUUGGGAGCAAUCUCAGUGGCUAAGCGAAAGUGAUAAGUAUCCCACCUGGGGAGUACGUUCGCAAGAAUGAAACUCAAAGGAAUUGACGGGGGCCCGCACAAGCGGUGGAGCAUGUGGUUUAAUUCGAUGAUACGCGA
rnacentral:rRNA from 1 species